rnacentral:lncRNA from 1 species
UUUUUUUAAAGAAAAACUUGACUUAUUAGAUAAUCAACCCCCAGUCUUUACUCGCACACAAACUCCUCCACACAAAUAAUAUUCAUACUUGACGUGUUUGUAUACAACUCUGUAACAAAUCCCUAUAUGGCACUAUAAAUCUAAAUUAAUCCCUUCGAAUUCCAGCGAUUCUAAAGGUUACAAAUCGCCAUGAAUCAGCGAGAUCGAGAGAUGGCUCUGUAGCGACGGCUGAGAGGAUAGACCACGAAACCGGAGCGGCGGCCGUGACGGCUCAGGUGAUUGCGAGAUGGAACGAAUCGGCGGCUGCCCGACCGCAGCGACCCAAACGGAUGCGAGAACAGAUAGAGCGGCAGCUGCACGGACGCUCUUCCGGCCAAUAUGCGCGCCGUCAUGCCUGCAUCCAUGAUUUUGAGCCUGCCUCGCUGUUGCUAAAGUCGAGAGAAAGAUAGAGAGAUAAAUAGAUCAGACCGAGAUUGAUGUCGAGAGAAAUAGAGACAAAGGCCAAGCAAGAGCGCUGGUGGAUCGUCCAGGCCAUCACCUUCAGCAGAUGAGCCGUCAGGAGCCAUGAGUCGAGGAUCUCCAUCUUCCGCUGGACAGCGCCCAUCGAGUUCAUUAGCGAAGAUUGAGGGCGUCGGCGGUGGAUCAGGUAGUCUCCAUCUUCCUCUCACUUUUCAGUCUUUCCCCCUAUUGUAAGGAUCUGGCGGCGACAAUGGUUGUGCGUGUGCGGCAUGCAGCGGCUCUCUCGGGCCGGCAGGGAUGCAUUUGUGCACACGCGUGCUGGUCAGCAGCAUGCGUGUCCAACAUCGUGUCCGUGUAUGCAUGUGUCUCGGGGCAUGGUCUGCGUGCUGGGUGUCGUGUGUGUGUGCAAUGUGUCGGGCGUGGUGUGCGUGCGUGUCUAGUUCUCUGCCACACCAGCCAUGAUCCUGGGCAUCAACAAUGGCGUGCAUCUUAUUCCAAAAAACUAGAAUGUAUUAUGAAGGGAGCAGCACUCCAGCAUAUUCCCGAGUUUGUUUUGGCUCCAUAGUUGUGGUACGCAUGAAAUUAAUCAUGUGGUUGCAUAGCAGACAAG